rnacentral:rRNA from 1 species
UUAGAGUUUGUUCCUGGCUCAGGAUGAACGCUAGCGGCAGGCUUAACACAUGCAAGUCGAGGGGCAUCGCGCGGGUAGCAAUACCUGUGGCGGCGACCGGCGCAAGGGUGCGUAACGCGUGAGCAACAUGCCCGUGUCAGGGGGGAUAAGCGAUGGAAACGUCGUCUAAUACCGCAUAACACCGGAGGGGGCAUCCCAUCUGGUUGAAAUAUUCAUAGGACACGGAUUGGCUCGCGAGACAUUAGCUAGUUGGCGGGGUAACGGCCCACCAAGGCGACGAUGUCUAGGGGUUCUGAGAGGAAGGUCCCCCACACUGGAACUGAGACACGGUCCAGACUCCUACGGGAGGCAGCAGUGAGGAAUAUUGGACAAUGGUCGGAAGACUGAUCCAGCCAUGCCGCGUGAAGGCAGACGGUCCUAUGGAUUGUAAACUUCUUUUGUACGGGAACAAUAAGGUCCACGAGUGGUCCGAUGAGAGUACCGUACGAAUAAGCAUCGGCUAACUCCGUGCCAGCAGCCGCGGUAAUACGGAGGAUGCGAGCGUUAUCCGGAUUUAUUGGGUUUAAAGGGUGCGUAGGCGGAGAUGUAAGUCAGCGGUGAAACGCAGGUGCUCAACACCUGACCUGCCGUUGAUACUGCGUUUCUUGAAUUCGGAUGCUGUGGGAGGAAUGUGUGGUGUAGCGGUGAAAUGCAUAGAUAUCACACAGAACACCGAUUGCGAAGGCAUCUCACAAAUCCGAGAUUGACGCUGAGGCACGAAAGUGCGGGGAUCGAACAGGAUUAGAUACCCUGGUAGUCCGCACAGUAAACGAUGAUAACUCGCCUGUCGGCGAAACAAUGUCGGGGGCCCAAGCCAAAGCGAU